AUUGAACGCUGGCGGCAGGCCUAACACAUGCAAGUCGAGCGAGCGGCGGACGGGUGAGUAAUGUAUGGGGAUCUGCCUGAUGGAGGGGGAUAACUACUGUAAACGGUAGCUAAUACCGCCUACCAUCAUAUGUACCCCUAUGUGAUUGGCUUUUAGGUGAGGUAACGGCUCACCAAGGCGACGAUCCCUAGCUGGUCUGAGAGGAUGAUCAGCAACACUGGGACUGAGAAACGGCCCAGACUCCUACGUGAGGCAGCAGUGGGGAAUAUUGGGCAAUGGACGAAAGCCUGAUCGAGCCAUGCCGCGUGAGUGAAGAAGGUUUUCGGAUUGUAAAGCUCUGUCGUCAGGGAAGCGGUACCCAAAGAGAAAGCAACGGCUAACUCCGUGCCAGCAGCCGCGGUAAUUC
rnacentral:rRNA from 1 species